rnacentral:rRNA from 1 species
UACAUAGGUCCCCAAGCGUUAUCCGGAAUUACUGGGCGUAAAGCGUCUGCAGGUUGAAAAGUGUGUGAGAUGUGAAAGACCGGGGCUCAACCCCGCGUUUGUAUCUCAAACUGCUUUUCUUGAGUGAGCAAGAGGUAUGCGGAAUUUAUGGAGUAGGAGUGCAAUCCGUUGACACCAUAAAGAACACCAAAAGCGAAGGCAGCAUACUGGGGCUCUACUGACACUCAGAGACGAAAGCU